rnacentral:rRNA from 1 species
UAGGGAAUCUUCCACAAUGGACGCAAGUCUGAUGGAGCAACGCCGCGUGAGUGAAGAAGGUUUUCGGACCGUAAAGCUCUGUUGUUGGUGAAGAAGGAUAGAGGUAGUAACUGGCCUUUAUUUGACGGUAAUCAACCAGAAAGUCACGGCUAACUACGUGCCAGCAGCCGCGGUAAUACGUAGGUGGCAAGCGUUGUCCGGAUUUAUUGGGCGUAAAGCGAGCGCAGGCGGAAGAAUAAGUCUGAUGUGAAAGCCCUCGGCUUAACCGAGGAAUUGCAUCGGAAACUGUUUUUCUUGAGUGCAGAAGAGGAGAGUAGAACUCCAUGUGUAGCGGUGGAAUGCGUAGAUAUAUGGAAGAAUACCAGUGGCGAAGGCGGCUCUCUGGUCUGCAACUGACGCUGAGGCUCGAAAGCAUGGGUAGCGAACAGGAUUAGAUACCCUUGGUAGUCCAUGCCGUAAACGAUGAGUGCUAAG